CAGUAGCCACGGUAAUACAGAGGAUGCAAGCGUUAUCCGGAACGAUUGGGCGUAAAGCGUCUGUAGGUGGCUUUUCAAGUCCGCCGUCAAAUCCCCGGGCUCAACCCUGGACAGGCAGUGGAAACUACCAAGCUGGAGUACGGUAGGGGAGAGUGGAAUUCCAUGUGUAGCGGUGAAAUGCGUAGAUAUAUGGAGGAACACCGGUGGCGAAAGCGGCUCUCUGGUCUGUAACUGACGCUGAGGCUCGAAAGCGUGGGGAGCGAACAGGAUUAGAUACCCCGGUAGUCCCUGUCUCUUAUAC
rnacentral:rRNA from 1 species